rnacentral:lncRNA from 1 species
CUUUAAUUUUUUUCCAGUUUUCCACGUCAUAUAUGUUUUUAAAUGGUUUAUGUAAUCUAAACUUUUGAAAGGUUGCACAUUGAAGAUUUUACUUUGAUUAAUUGGCAGCUUAUAAGGUUAUAUAAUUAGAUAUGUCUGUAAAUUCUUCUUUUAUGAAAAAAUGCAAUUGUUCCAUGAUGCUUGGAUACAUGUACAUCCUAUUAGAUCAAAUAUCUUACAAAAUAUAUCAAUUCUUUUAAGUUACUUAUAUCUUAUCGUCUUAAACAAACCUUAGUAUGACAACAUUAUAACAAAGUCGUUCAAACAUAUUGCAGUAGUAAGAUCAGAAAAACAGUUUUCACAUACUUAUCUUUAUAAUAUAAGAGAUUAUAUAAAACCUAGUCUUUGUUAUUGUACAGUAUUUGUUAUUUGUUAUCUUUGUAUAUAUUUUCUCAUUUUAUUACGUUCCUUGAUUUCUGAACAUUGGAAUAUGUCAUUUCAAUUCUAUGUCAUCUUUUUAUGUCACUUCAUUUCUAUGUCAACUGAUUAUGUCACUUCAAUUAUAAGUCAACUAAUCAUGUCACUUAAAUCCUUUGUCAACUGAUUAUGUCACUUUAAUUCUAUUUCAACUGAUCAUGUCACUUCGGUUAUUUGUCAUCUGGUUGUGUCACUUCAAUUAUAUGUCAGCUGAUAAUGAUCAUGUAACUUCACUUUUAUGUCAUCUGAUUAUGUCACUUCAAUUAUUUGUCAACUGAUUGUGUCACUCUAAUUCUAUGUCAAUUAGUUAUGUCAUUUCAAUUUUUUGUCAACUGAUCAUGUCAUUUCAAUUCUAUGUCAACUGAUUAUGUCAAUUCAAUUAUGUCAAUUAACUAAUGUAACUUCAAUUCUAUGGCAACUGAUUACGUCACUUAAAUUCUAUGUCAUCUGAUUAUUCCAUUUUCAAUUCUUUGUCAACUGAUUAUGUCACUUCAAUUUUUAGCUCACUGGGGCCCUUUUGGACCCCAUGUGAGCUUAUGCCAUCACAUGGCGUCCGUCGUCUGUCGUGGUCGUUGUCGUAAACGAUUUAAAAAUCUUCUCCUCUGAAACUACUGGGCCAAAUACCUUCAAACCUUAAAUGAAUGUUUCUAAGGGUAUCUAGUUUAUAUAUUAUAUCCGAAGUUUUGAUCCAUCGACAAACAUGACCGCCAUGGCUAAAAAUAGAAGAUAGGGGUCAAAUGCAGUUUUAAGCUUAUAUCUCAAAAACUAAAGCUUUUAGAGCAAAUCUGACAUGGGGGUUAAUUUGUUCAAUUGGUCAAGAUUUAUUGACCCUGAAAUUAUCAGACAAUCUACAACCUAUUGUUGGGUUGCUGCCGCCGAAUUGGUAGUUUUAACAAAAUUUUGCUUUUUU